GUCUGCCUUGCUCCCUGUCCUGGCUUCCCUUCAGACCCUGCCUCAGGCCCUUCCUGUCAAUGUGAUUCACACAACAAGUCUGUCCUACCAUCUCCUGGGGUGUAUCUUUCAUUUAGCAGGAUAGGUGAAGCAAGCUCAUGGUGGGGAAAGAAAGUGCAACCUGCCUGUGGUGCCUCCUCCUCUCCCAGUGAGAGCCGCAGAUGGACAGUUUGAUUUAUCAACUCAAACCCUGUGGAGAGUGAAGGGAUGACAGGAAGAGUGAGGCAGUGGGUGUGGUUAUCCUGGAAGCCAAAAGCAGAGCAGGCAUGUCUCCUCCCAGGAAGCAUAUCCUUGCAGAGGGCAGGUCCAAGGAGAUUCCUGUCCUGCUUUUGCUGCUGUGUUGUUCACUCGCACCCUGCUUUAGCACCAGUACUUGAGACUCACCAGUGAGAACUGCUCCUCUGAACAGGUGUUACUGGGAUUGCAAAGGAAGUUGCUAUUGUGUGGAAUCUCUUUCAAGUCUGAAAAACAAGUAAUUGAACUAUCAGACAGUGGGAGAGUGGUGGAGGUGGGAGGAAGGACUCCUUUUUUUAAGCUACUGAAUACUGUUAUAAAUACUUGUACCAAGGAAAGAAUUCAAAGUUCCUCACAGACACCAAACAAGUUUUAUAGAUCAAUUUAAAUCUGACGCACCAUGAAGAAAAAGGCAGAACCACUGGGCUGAAUCACUGAGCCAGGAUGAGCUGUGUCUCGGGAAUGCCUUGGAGCUGUGCAGUGGAGGAGACAGCUGCUGUGCAGCCUGGGCUGCAGGGAGACACACCGUGCUUGGGAGGGGGCUGCACACAGAGCUGCUCCUCAGCUACCGAAGUCUCUCUUAAAAGAAGAAUUGAAUGCUUCAAAACCAAAGCUGUGAAAUGGCACAGGGAAGAAGUUGUAAUUUAAUAAGAGAAUGAAAAUAACUGUGGUAAGUAUUAAAUUUGGAGGCAAUUCUGCUGGAUAAGGGUAGAUAAAAGGUGAUGAUUCUUGGAGAAAGCUGUCUCCAGGUGGGACUUGCUGGAUGAAGUUUGACAUUGGGAGACUGAGACUGGCAAAUAGUAGAGAAAGGAAAGCAAGUGAUGGAGGCAGACCUGGAGAACCAGAGGCCUGGGUGGGAAGCCAGGAGGCAGGUGGGCUUAUCUGCUGGAAGGAAUACACAAGCUGUAAAACAUACCUUUAAAAUAAUAUCAAAGUAACGAAAUAGCACAAUGAAAAGCUGUAAAAUACUGAUGAAAUCUGUGCAAGCACAACGUAUUGCAGAAGUAAUUCCUAGGAGUUCUUCUGGGUGAAGAAAUCCUCCAGGAAUAUGAGCAGGAGUGGGGAAAUCACGCUCUUUUGAGGGUGGUCACAUAAGCAACCUGUACUUCUUGUGCUUGGAACCAUUUAUGUAUUUCACCUCUUACCAUUUUCUUUGAGUGGAUCCCAAUUUCCUGCUCAGGCAAUAAGGUUAUACCCAUCUCUCGUACACUAGAGAAAGAAAUCAGAGACACCCCCCUUUACCUGUCUUUAGCAGAUGGUGUGUGUGUCUGUCUCAGUGCUUAAAUUAAUCCCGUGCCAAUUCUCUGAUGCUCUGGUCUGUCUUUGUAAGGGAAAUCCCUGCUCAAUUAUCAGCUUCUACUGGAAUCAUUCAGUUGAUUUCAGCAGAGAAGUAAGAGCACAGCCAGAUGAGAACAUUUAUAGUGGAUGCUGAAAAAUGUGGGAGCAGCUAUUGGGGUUCUGAAGGAGAGGUUUUGCUGUGUACAGCUUUUAUUCUGAAAUAGAGAACAGUGGCUUUGUCUGGGUUAAUGCAAAGAAAAUGGCAUGUCUCUGCUGCUGUUUGAAACUACCCCCACUUUCUAUUUGCAGGUGAUAUAGAGAGUGAAAGGUGGCCAAGAGAGUGCCUCCUGGAUAUGAAGAGAUCACUUGUUUUCAACUUCUGGUUUCAUGAAUUGAUAAAUCUCUUGUUAUUGGUAACACUCUGUAAUAAUAAAAAGGAAAAAGAAGGAGAAAAAUGAAAGCCUCUAAAGAAAAGAAAUGGAGCCUUGUGCAAAGGUGUGCUCAGCAGAACUAUUGUUUUUUCUUUGAUUUUUCUUAGGCAGAAUUAAUCUUCUGGAAUGCAAGUUAGUCUUCAAAAGGUGAUUUUCCUUUGGAAUGCAAAUUACUAUAGUGAUGCUUCCCAUACCACUGAGGGAAUAUGGUAAUGUUACUAUGCACUGAUCCAACUAUUUCCAUUUACAGCAUUCAAAUACUCACAAACUUAUCUCUAUGACCCCCUGUGAAACACUUAAACAUUGGAAUUGGAGUUAUACUACUAGGGACACUGAGGCAAAGUUUACAAUCCAUGGCCUUCCAGUAACUGGUGAAUGGAUUCAGUUUCUACUCAAACCUACCCAUGGGCAGUUAGCGAGCUGCUUACCGUCAUUAAAAUUUACUUUUGGGGGGGUCAGUAACUAGGUGAAAUAAAUGUAUGGGCAUACUUAUGUCACCAUAAGCUUGUUCUGAAGAUCAGAUUGGGUAACUCUACACUGCAUCAGCUUGCAUGAGCUGUCUGGCAUUGAUCCUCCCUAUGGUCAGCAGCACUCUAGAAGAACAGAGCCUUAACAUUCUUCUAAGCCAUCUCCAGACACAUGGUUUGGAGUUAGGGAUAGCCUUUUUUGUCUGCCUGAAGGUAUCCUGAUGUCAUCUUUUCCUAGGAGUAACAUUUUUUUGAGAUUUUUGGGUUGAAUCCGCACACCCCAGAAAUGUGAAUGAGAACAGGGAUCCCAAGUUCAUGCUCAGAUACAUGCUUGAGCUUUCUCUUCGUCAGUGGAAACAAAGUUUUUUAGUAUUGGGGCUGAGUUUUUCAUUUCCUAUGUCUCUGUAACCUGUCUUUGCUACAUAAAUUUAUGCCCUUCUUUCUGAUGAACUUUUGGAGGGACCUGAGACCAUCCCUCAAGGGACAGGCUUGUCUGAGUUUUGUUUGUGUAUGCCAAGGUUGGAGGCACUGCUGAUAAACAUAUCCAUUUCAAAGCGAGAAGACUCAGGAAUAUCUGGUGAGAUAUACAUAUCUGUUGUAUGGAAUUAAUGCUGAAGUGGGAGCACUGAUUCACACAUCACGUUUGUGCCUGUAGUUUAAAUUAGGGAGUGUUUUCAUAAUAUUUUUUGUGCAGUGUGAGAGGAAAUCAGAAUUUGUGGGAGAAGUUUGUUACUUAGAAACAGUGUCAAUCUUUUGGCACUUAAAUCUUCUCAUAUAUAGUUUAAAAUGAACUGUUGGUUCUUUUUCAAACUAGAAACCUUUCUGACCUGAGAAACAGCAGUCUAAUAAUAUUGCCUGUAAAUGUAUUUAUUGAAAUAAAUGUUUUGUUAAACCUGUAAGUGGGAGAAAAGUUCAUGUUUUAUUGAUCUGUUAUUCACUCUGUUUUAAACUUAGUGGUUUGGUACUAACCCUUCAUGCAGAUAUUGAUUAUUAUUAGAAC